CGGGCGGCCGUGACCCUGCUGGAGUGCGGGGGGGACCUCCAGCCCCCCAGGGGGUCCCUGACUCUGCUCUGCCGCGGGAAUGGAUUCGAUUUUGGGAGUUUUGACAUGGGUUGGAUCCGCCAAAGACCAGGAAAGGCGCUGGAAUGGGUCACACAGAUCAAGAGCGAUAGCGGUUACACCUACUACGCAUCGUCAGUCAAGGGCCGGUUCUCGAUCUCCAGGGACAACGGGCAGAGCUCGGUGACGCUGACCAUGAACAACCUCAAGGACGAGGAUUCCGCCGUUUAUUUCUGUGCCAAAUAUUCUGGUAGUGGUUGGGGUGGUGGUCGUGCUCAGUAUAUUGAUGUUGCUGGCCUCGUCCCUGUCCCUCCUCCUGUCCCCAGAUGUCCCCAGACCCCCCUCCCAUCAAUGCCAUCGGUGUCUGUGGCGCCGUCAGGGACUGAGGAUCGCGCUUUGUGCCGAGGGAAUGAACUGGAGAGGGUGCAGAGCAAAGGGGCGGCGCCGUGA